GGUCUGUGGCGGCACGAUAACGCGUCUGACUAACGGAUCAGAAGAUUCAGGUUCGAAUCCUGGCAGGAUCG
rnacentral:tRNA from 1 species